rnacentral:rRNA from 1 species
AGUGAACGCUGGCGGUAGGCCUAACACAUGCAAGUCGAACGGCAGCACAGUAAGAGCUUGCUCUUACGGGUGGCGAGUGGCGGACGGGUGAGGAAUACAUCGGAAUCUACUUUUCGUGGGGGAUAACGUAGGGAAACUUACGCUAAUACCGCAUACGACCUACGGGUGAAAGCAGGGGAUCUUCGGACCUUGCGCGAUUGAAUGAGCCGAUGUCGGAUUAGCUAGUUGGCGGGGUAAAGGCCCACCAAGGCGACGAUCCGUAGCUGGUCUGAGAGGAUGAUCAGCCACACUGGAACUGAGACACGGUCCAGACUCCUACGGGAGGCAGCAGUGGGGAAUAUUGGACAAUGGGCGAAAGCCUGAUCCAGCCAUACCGCGUGGGUGAAGAAGGCCUUCGGGUUGUAAAGCCCUUUUGUUGGGAAAGAAAAGCAGCAGGUUAAUACCCCGCUGUUCUGACGGUACCCAAAGAAUAAGCACCGGCUAACUUCGUG